GGCUGGUCCAAAGGUAGUGAGUUAUUUCAACUGAUUGUUCAAAGACUGAACUUAUUUUCCUCACUACUGCACUUACCUGGGGGAAA
rnacentral:Y_RNA from 1 species